GACGUAGGGGGCCAGCGUUGCUCGGAAUUACUGGGUGUAAAGGGUUCGUAGGCGGUGUGGCAAGUCGGGAGUGAAAUCUCUGGGCUUAACCCAGAGGCUGCUUCCGAAACUGCUGUGCUUGAGUGUGGGAGAGGCGCGUGGAAUUGCAGGUGUAGCGGUGAAAUGCGUAGAUAUCUGCAGGAACACCCGUGGCGAAAGCGGCGCGCUGGACCACUACUGACGCUGAGUGAACGAAAGCUAGGGGAGCAAACAGG
rnacentral:rRNA from 1 species